GGGACCUCAGUUGAGAAAAAGGAUAAAUGAGUCAUUUAUUACACAUGAGUUUACAGAGGAAGAGGUUCUAUUUCAACUGUCAAAAGUAAAGACAAAUAAAUCAAUGGGACCUGAUGGAAUAUACCCAAAGCUGUUAAAAGAGCUUAGUGGUGUACUAGCAAAACCAUUAACAGAUUUAUUUAACCAAUCAUUGUUAACAGGAGUAGUCCCAGAAGAAUGGAAGUUAGCGAAUGUUGGGCCCAUUUACAAGAAAGGUAAUAGGGAGGAGUCGGGCAACUAUAGGCCAGUAAGCCUUACUUCAGUAGUGGGGAAAGUGAUGG
rnacentral:lncRNA from 1 species